ensembl:rRNA 5S_rRNA 5S ribosomal RNA
GUCUAUGGCCAUACCACCCUGAAUGCGCUCAGUCUACUGUGAACUAAGCAGGGUUGGACCUGGUUAGUACUUGGAUGGGAGGCAGGAUCCACCCUCGUCCCAUUGACU